CCCCUAGAUGUUCUGGGCCGCACGCGCGCUACACUGAACAGUUCAACAAGUCUUAACCUUGGCCGAUAGGUCUGGGUAAUCUUUGAACGCUGUUCGUGAUUGGGAUAGACCUUUGCAAUUAUGGGUCUUCAACGAGGAAUUCCUAGUAAACGCAAGUCAUCAGCUUGCAUUGAUUGCGUCCCUGCCCUUUGUACACACCGCCCGUCGCACCUACCGAUUGAAUGGUCCGGUGAAAUCUCGGGACGGCGACUUGGUCGCUUGCGUCCGACUGCUGAAACUUGAUUAAACCAUAUCAUUUAGAGGAAGGUGAANUCGUANCA
rnacentral:rRNA from 1 species